AUGGAAUAUUACCAAGCACCCUCCACUAUUUCGGAUAGUAUUUAUGGUUCUACCUUUUUCUUAGCAACUGGCUUUCAUGGUUUUCAUGUGAUUAUAGGUACUCUUUUCUUGAUCGUAUGUGGUAUUCGCCAAUAUCUUGGUCAUCUGACCAAGAAGCAUCACAUUGGCUUUGAAGCAGCUGCAUGGUAUUGGCAUUUUGUAGACGUGGUUCGGUUAUUCCCAUUUGUCUCUAUCUAUUGGUGGGGAGGUAUACAAAAGAAGGGAACGAAUAAGUGGAUUGAGGAAUAA
rnacentral:rRNA from 1 species